UAUGACCACAUCACGUUGAAAUACCAGUCCCCGUACGAUUAUAGAAGUUAAGAAAAGUCGAGCCUGGUCAGUAACUAAAUGGGUGACCGCUUGGGAGUACCAGGUGCUGUAUG